UACGUAGGUGACAAGCGUUGUCCGGAUUUACUGGGCGUAAAGAGCGCGCAGGCGGUCGAUCAAGUCGAGUGUGAAAGCCCCCGGCUCAACUGGGGAGGGUCAUUCGAAACUGGUCGACUCGAAGGCAGGAGAGGGUAGUGGAAUUCCCGGUGUAGUGGUGAAAUGCGUAGAUAUCGGGAGGAACACCAGUGGCGAAGGCGACUACCUGGCCCGAUACUGACGCUGAGGCACGAAAGCGUGGGAGCAAACAGG
rnacentral:rRNA from 1 species